CCACCCCAGGGCUGUGGGAGCCCCAAACGCCUCUUGCUCCACCUGCCCCAGUCCGAGUGUGCCCCCUACUGUCUAGAAUCCGCCCGGGCCACCUGGCGAGGGCAACCUCCCCCAGACAACGCUUGGAGCUGUCAGCCUGCUGGGGGGCGGCUCCAGCUGGUAGCCUACCCGGUUCCUCACCCUGUGGAACCCUUCCCACUCCCAAGGUUUCAACUGCCAUCUGAAAAAUCUCUUUCUUCACCCUUCCCUCCUCUUUGAGCAGCCUGACGGCGCUGCAGGGCUCAAACAUGCCUCAAAUAUCCCCCAGAACUGUCCUCCACAUUUUCUCUCAGAUAACCAUACUACUACUGUCUACUGAAGUUAGAUACCAAGAACCCUGUCUUUUUUCUUUUUCUUUUUUUUUUUUUUUUUUUGAGACAGGAUCUCAGGCACCCAGACUGCUGGAGUGUGGUGGCAUGAUCAUAGCUCACUGCAGCCUCGACCUCCUGGGCUUAGGUGAUCCUCCUGCCUCAGCCUCCCAAGUAGCUGGGACCACAGGUGCAUGCUACCACACUUGGCUAAUUUUUGUAUUUUUUGUACAGAUAGGGUCUUGCCCUGUUGCCCAGGCUGGUCUUGAAGUCUUGGGCUCAAGUGAUCCUCCCACCUCAGCCUCCCAAAGUGCAGGGAUUACAGGCAUGACUCACAGUGCCCUGCUGAGAACCAUCCUUUCAUCAGACAUUUGUUAGGCAGUCGCUGUGAUUCUGCCUCUCCCUCACCGCAUCCCCAUCAAACUGAUACAGCUGUAUCUCCUACAUAUUUACCUAAUCGGUCCAUCUGUGCCCUUAGGCCCGCAACUACUGUUGUUGAGCCACCUUCAGAUUUCAGUUCCUCAAAUCCAGCCCCCAUCUCAUCCCAGGGCACUAAGGGAAAUGUAAAUGUGACUUCUGCCAAAAUCCUUCAGAAACUAUUAUUUGUAAAACAGGAUAAAGUUCCAGUUCCUGGCUGGGCACGGUGGCUCACACCUGUAAUACCAGCACUUCGGGAGGCUGAGGCGGGCAGAUCACUUGAGGUCAGGAGUUAAAGACCAGCCUGGCCAACAUGGUGAAACCCUGUCUCUACUAAAAAUACAAAAAUGGCUGGGCGCGGUGGCUCACGCCUGUAAUCCCAGCACUUUGGGAGGCCGAGGUGGGCAGAUCACAAGAUCAGGAGUACGAUACCAGUCUGGCCAAGAUGGUGAAACCCUGUCUCUACUAAAGAAACAAAAAAUUAGCUGGGUGUGGUGGCGCACACCUGUAAUCCCGGCUACUCUGGAGGCUGAGGCAGGAGAAUCACUUGAACCUGGGAGGCGGAAGUUGAAGUGAGCCGAGAUCGUGCCACUGCACUCCAGCCUGGGCAACAAGAGCGAAACUUUGUCUGAAAAGAAAAAAAAAAAAAAAGAUCUGGGUGAUGUGGCACACGCCUGUAAUCCCAGCUACCUGGGAGGCUGAGGCAGGAGAAUUGCUUGAGCUGGGGAGGCAGAGGUUGCGGUGAGCAGAGAUUGUGCCACUGUACUCCAGCCUGGGCAACAAAGCGAGACUCCGUCUCAAAAAAAUAAACAAAAUUUAAAAGUUCCAGUUCCCCAAUUUGACCCACACAGGCUCCUCCCUCUCCCUCCCUCUGAAGGACAUCUGACCUGCCUGGUCCCCGAUGCUCCAGUCACAUGGAAUUGCCUGUGGUUUCUGCACCUGCUGUUCUCUCUCCUCUAGCUCGCGACAUAGCCUCAUUUUGGACGGCACCUCCGCUGGGAAGCCUUCCCUAACCACUCCCCAUUAAUACUGUUCACUUUAUUUGUCCACUGCUGGCAUUGUUUUAUAAUUAGCUAUUCGUCUGUUUGCCUUCCUCUCUAAUUGACUAUGAACUCUUUGGGGGCAGGACGGUGUCUUAUUCAACUUUGUAUGACCAGCCCUUGAUAGAGAAGCAAGCACAAAGCAGUUGCACAAUAUGAGUUUGUGGAAUGAAAACAUGAACUCCUGAAAAGGGGCAAAUGGCCAGGUGCGGUGGCUCACACCUGGAAUCCCAGCACUUUGGGAGGCUGAGGUGGGUGGAUCACCUGAGGUCAGGAGUUCGAGACCAGCCUGGCCAACAUGGCAAAACCCCAUCUCUACAAAAAGUACAAAAAUUAGCUGGGCAUGGUGGUGGGCGCCUGUAAUUCCAGCUACUCAGGAGGCUGAGGCACAAGAAUGGCUUGAACCUGGGAGGCGGAGGUUGCAGUGAGCCAAGACGGAAAAGAAACAACCUUAGAAUACUCAUAGAACUUUAAAUUGUAAUGAGAUAUAAUUGUUGAUGGCUAAACACACACACAAAAAUUAUAUAUACUUUUUAGAAGCUUUAGUGGCUGGGCACAGUGGCUCACACCUGUAAUCUCGGCACUUUAGGAGGCCAAGGUGGGAAGAUCUUCUGAGGUCAGGAGUUCGAGAGCAACCUGGCCAACAUGGCAAAACUCCAUCUCUACUAAAAAUGCAAAAAAAUUAGCUGCACGUGGUGGCAUGCGCCUGUAGUCCCGGCUACUCGAGAGGCUGAGGCAGGAGAAUCGCUUGAACCUAGGAGGCCGAGGUUGCAGUGAGCUGAGAUCGUGCCAUUGCACUCCAGCCUGGGCAACAAGAGUGAAACUCCAUCUCAAAAAAUAAAUAAAUAAAUAAAUAUGGACAA
rnacentral:lncRNA from 10 species